AAUUUUUGUCAGUGAAUAUGUAAUUUAUUCACUUUUAUGAAAGGGAAAAGAAGAGUAAUGAAUCAUUUAAGCAUUUCAGACAUGGCAUGACAACAGGUGCACAGUUUUCCUGACAGUACACUGUAAAGUGUCUAGCCUGUGUAAGUUAGUGGAGGAACUGUGCUGGGAGGGAAGGAAGAAACUAGACAGAUGAAAGGUAAAGUUGGCUGUCGUAGAAAACUCCUGUGAUGCAAAAAUACUUCUGUUCACCUAGUUAGACUAAUCACUAGACAAAAAUGACUAGCAAUUUAGAUCUCCUAUUUCCAAACACGUUUAAAUUCUCUAAGUUGCUACACAAAAAUGUGGACACAGAGAUGUGCAGAUAAAUUUAAAGAAAUGGCAGAUUAUUCAAUAAGAAGCAAAUAAUGAAGUGCUUAAUAGAGUCCUUCUGACUGUUUGGUGACAUCACAUUUUAGGCACCUAGGAAACAAGCCAGACUAGUCAUGGACUCAUAAACAAUGGUUAUCUUCUGCUGUUUCUGCUGCCACUGUUCACAUUUUAUAUAGUAUCUUCGUGGUUUUAAUACCAACAAGUCAAACAGACCUUUUGCAGUCUGGAACUCAGAGGGAACAUUUGUGCUUAUGUCUUAUGUUCAUAAAUCUCUCCUUUAUUGGAUGUCUCUCCUGCAGAGAAAGAUGGACCACAGCAGAAGACAAAUACCACUACCGAAGACUGGAGUGACUGAAGUGUAACAGAGAUGAAUUAAUAUUUAACUAUCCCAUGCAAGGUGGAACUGCUCAAGAAUUAGAAUGAAUGUGCCAUGGCUUCAUAGCUCUGUCUCUAGGAUGUCAUUCAAAAAUCUCUCAGCUCUAAGCACAGAAGAGCUUAAACCUGAGGGCAGUCAGUUUUUAUGAACGCCUUCUAGCUGCUGGCCUAGAAGAUACUUAAAGAAGGAGAACGGACUCUGCUCAUCUCUUCUGUUGGAUGCCCUAUAAAAUAGAAGAGACAGGCUCAUACUCCUUUUGGGAAAAGAAAAAUAUGAGGUAGGAUUUUUUAUAAAUAUCCUAAAGAUUCAACAAUCAUGUUGAGGGUGAGGGGGGUCACUCUAU
rnacentral:lncRNA from 1 species